rnacentral:rRNA from 1 species
GACGAACGCUGGCGGCGUGCUUAACACAUGCAAGUCGAACGAUGAACCGGUUUCGGCCGGGGAUUAGUGGCGAACGGGUGAGUAACACGUGGGCAAUCUGCCCUGCACUCUGGGAUAAGCCCGGGAAACUGGGUCUAAUACCGGAUACGACACUCCGAGGCAUCUUGGGGUGUGGAAAGUUCCGGCGGUGCAGGAUGAGCCCGCGGCCUAUCAGCUUGUUGGUGGGGUAAUGGCCUACCAAGGCGACGACGGGUAGCCGGCCUGAGAGGGUGACCGGCCACACUGGGACUGAGACACGGCCCAGACUCCUACGGGAGGCAGCAGUGGGGAAUAUUGCACAAUGGGCGAAAGCCUGAUGCAGCGAUGCCGCGUGAGGGAUGACGGCCUUCGGGUUGUAAACCUCUUUCAGCAGGGAAGAAGCGAAAGUGACGGUACCUGCAGAAGAAGCACCGGCUAACUACGUG